CGAGCAGGCCUCUAGACAGAAGAAAGAGAGCACGCAUGAACACUGCCUCUGAUUGCAGCCUCGAUGCGUGCUCUUUUUCUUCUGUCGGGAGUCCCU
rnacentral:pre_miRNA from 1 species